CUGUGGAGAGCAGUCUGGCAACAGCUCUAAACAUGUGAAAUCCUUUGACCCAAUAAUGCUACUUCUAGGAAGUGAGACAUGGUAUUUUUUAACAUCAAAGGUCUGAAAACAAUCUAAAUGUUCCCAAUAGGGGAUCGAAUAAAUUAUGGUGCAAUCAUACAAUGGAAUACUAAUGCAACAUUUUAAAAGAAUGCAGUAGAACUGUACAUUGCGACAUGGAAAACUCUCCAAGAUGUAUUGUCAAGUUAAAAAAAAAAGAAAGGUCCACAAAAGUAUUUUGCUAAGCUACCACUUGCAUAUAAAAACAUAAUACAUAAAUAAAUGCUUGUACAUGGGGAGAAUAUGCCUGGAAGUCGGUAGCAGUGACUGCAUGUGGCCAAGAAACUAAAAUAAGAGGCACAUAAACCAUUAAAAAUGUGCGUGUGCACAUAUAAAUAAAACACUUAAAGUUCGCAGAAAACGUUUACUGCAGUUCUUUUUGUAUUGUAAGAUUAUGAAUGACUUUUCUUCCUUGUAGUGUUUUGAGCUCACAAAUAUUCCACAGUGAAAAUGAACAUGGCUUGAAAGAAAAAAGCAGGAUUUAUUUUUUCCUUCUCAGUUAUCUCCACCAAACAAAAACACCUGGUCAGUUCACUCAGUAAAAACACAUCUUUUGCUUGCCUGGCUCUCCAGCAAUCCUCUGCUCUCCUGCUCAGGUGUAUGUUGGGGGUGAGGGGAGUUCCACUUAUUGUUUCUCGCAGGUAAAGAAAGGCCUUCCCCAAAUGGUGCUACUAUCAGAAUUAAAGACAGAGUUAUUUUGGUGGCAUUCUUGGCCUUAAGAGACAGGUUUCCUGUUAAUACUGUUUUGACUUAGAUUGUUUGGGUCUUUCCAGCGGGAGACCAGAUUUAGAUCAAACACACAGGAUCCUCCUGCUGAAACAAGAAGGGCCUGGAACACCCAGGGAAGUCAAAGCCCCGUUUUUCAGAGGGUGGGAAACGGGUUUGGGGCUCUUUCUCUGCUGCCUUGGGAGGCCCCAGUGAAGAAAGACCUGCUUGACCGGAGCCACACAAAGCCAAGGCCACAGGGCCAGCAGCUUGGAGGUGAACGCAUCCUGGGCCCCCGACAGAAGGCAGGUCCCACUCCAUGGCCCUGGGCCAGGGUAAGGAAGCCCACAAUGCUAUAUGCCAAGUAUGAGUCUUGGUAGGGUUCCUGCGUGGAGCCUCCUUCUGGGUUAAGGCCUGCCACUCCUUAGCCACCAGUUAAGCUGGUAGCCAGGAAGCCUGGGAAAAUGGGAGCAGAGAAAACAUGAGGGAUGGUCCAACCUGGCCCCUCUGAGACUCAGUCAAUAGGCAGGAAAGGAUGCUAAUGAAGGGCCUGGGCAUCCCAGUGGGAGGCACUGAGCAGGCCUGCCUGCCCCAGCCCAGGGUAGGAGACUGGGAUCCCAGUGUGGAUGCACCUCUCUCUGUGAGGUGGCUCUCUGGAUACCCCAUCCUGGACUAGCCCCAGCCUCUGAGGCUAGUAGGAGGAUACCAGCCUGGUAACCAGAGACCCCAGAGAAACUGAGUGCUCUAAGUGGGACCUACUCUUUAUUCCAUUUGUGGGCUCCAUGUUCUCUUUGCCAGGCCUGAGGGAGUGGAUGCAGCAUCUGAAUUUUCACGAGAAAAUUCAUUUUCGCUGAGUUGGUCCUGAUUGACAAUGAAACCUUCAAAAUGGGCUUAGAGCUUGGCUGCAACUAGCUGACAUUUUCCUUCUGACAAAGCCAGGAGUAUUUGUUUCCAAGACCUUUCCCUCUGAAUCUUUGUUUGAAUGUGGACCUGGGAACUGGCAUCUAUAGUCUCUUUCCUGAUGAGAUCUUAAAUCAUCCAAGUGACUGUGCAAAGGUGGCCUGUGCUGCCCAGCCCAGGCCUCUCAUAAAAGGGUGCAACUCUUUAGCCCAGAGUCAGGAAGCUGGUGUUCAUCAGCAAUAAACAAACAGCCUUCCAAGGACUGAGUGCAGGUCUUUCUUCUGAGACCAGGGAAGCCUGGCCAAUAUGUCUUCUCUCAUUGUAGAUGACAAACUGUGAAGAAAAGUCUUGACGUUUGGCAAAAGUUCCCCUUCCCUUGUAAAGUUAAUAAAAGAAAACCAUGUGUUAAAAAACAAGCUAUCCUUUUCCCUAACAAUCCUGUAUCCUGGGGCCACUGCUCCAAAUGUCAGAGAAACAUUAUGCUUUAGUGAAGCAAAGAGACAAAAAUAAUAGAACAAGAUAGAAAGAAUUCAGAAUUAAAAAAAAAAAAAAAAAAAAAAGGAGUUCCCGUUGUGGCUCAGUGGCUAACGAAUCCAACUAGGAACCAUGAGGUUGUGGGUUCAACCCCUGGCCUUGCUCAGUAGGUUAAGGAUCUGGCAUUGCCAUGAGCUGUGGCAUAGGUUGUAGACGUGGCUCAGAUGCAGCGUUGCUGUGGCUGUGGCGUAGGCCAGUGGCUACAGCUCCCAUUAGACCCCUAGCCUGAGAACCUCCACAUGCCAAGGGUGCAGCCCUAAAAAAGAAAAAAAAAAAAAAAAAAA
rnacentral:lncRNA from 1 species